ncrna:unclassified sequences eL15-Euryarchaeota ribosomal protein leader
GCGGGAUAAAAUCUCCCGCAGGGAUGUGGCCUUUAACAGGCUGAACCGUGAA